GACGAACGCUGGCGGCGUGCCUAAUACAUGCAAGUCGAACGGUCUUUUCUAUGGAAGCUUGCUUCCACUGAGAAGAUAGUGGCGAACGGGUGAGUAACACGUGGGUAACCUGCCCAUAAGAGGGGGAUAACAUCCGGAAACGGGUGCUAAUACCGCAUAGUUUUCUUGAUCGCAUGAUCGAGAAAGGAAAGACGGCCUUUGCGCUGUCGCUUAUGGAUGGACCCGCGGCGUAUUAGUUAGUUGGUGAGGUAACGGCUCACCAAGACGAUGAUACGUAGCCGACCUGGGAGGGUGAUCGGCCACAUUGGGACUGAGACACGGCCCAAACUCCUACGGGAGGCAGCAGUAGGGAAUCUUCCGCAAUGGACGAAAGUCUGACGGAGCAACGCCGCGUGAGUGAAGAAGGUUUUCGGAUCGUAAAACUCUGUUGUCAGAGAAGAACAAGUCGGAGAGUAACUGCUCCGGCCUUGACGGUAUCUGACCAGAAAGCCACGGCUAACUACGUGCCAGCCGCCGCGGUAAAAC
rnacentral:rRNA from 1 species